rnacentral:pre_miRNA from 13 species
CUGGUGCGCGCUGGAUGUAACAGCAACUCCAUGUGGAAGCUGUAUGUGUGUUCCAGUGGAAGUGCUGUUACCUGCAGAGAUCCACCGG